rnacentral:rRNA from 1 species
AUUGAACGCUGGCGGCAUGCCUUACACAUGCAAGUCGAACGGCAGCAUGGAGGAGCUUGCUCCUCUGAUGGCGAGUGGCGAACGGGUGAGUAAAGCAUCGGAACGUACCGUGUAGUGGGGGAUAACGUAGCGAAAGUUACGCUAAUACCGCAUACGCACUGAGGUGGAAAGCAGGGGAUCGCAAGACCUGGCGCUAUACGAGCGGCCGAGGUCAGGUUAGCUAGUUGGUAGGGUAAAGGCCUACCAAGGCGACGAUCUGUAGCGGGUCUGAGAGGAUGAUCCGCCACACUGGGACUGAGACACGGCCCAGACUCCUACGGGAGGCAGCAGUGGGGAAUUUUGGACAAUGGGGGAAACCCUGAUCCAGCCAUGCCGCGUGAGUGAAGAAGGCCUUCGGGUUGUAAAGCUCUUUCGGCUGGGAAGAAAUCGCACAGGCUAAUACUCUGUGUGGAUGACGGUACCAGCAUAAGAAGCACCGGCUAACUACGUGCCAGCCGCCGCCGUAAUAC